rnacentral:rRNA from 1 species
UACGUAGGGUGCGAGCGUUAAUCGGAAUUACUGGGCGUAAAGCGUGCGCAGGCGGUUUUGUAAGCCAGAUGUGAAAUCCCCGGGCUUAACCUGGGAAUGGCAUUUGGGACUGCAAGGCUUGAGUGUGGCAGAGGAGACUGGAAUUCCUGGUGUAGCAGUGAAAUGCGUAGAUAUCAGGAGGAACACCGAUGGCGAAGGCAGCCCCCUGGGCUGACACUGACGCUCAGGCACGAAAGCGUGGGGAGCAAACAGG